rnacentral:rRNA from 1 species
GCUACGGGAGGCAGCAGUGAGGAAUAUUGGUCAAUGGGCGCGAGCCUGAACCAGCCAAGUAGCGUGAAGGAUGACUGCCCUACGGGUUGUAAACUUCUUUUAUAAAGGAAUAAAGUGAGGCACGUGUGCCUUUUUGUAUGUACUUUAUGAAUAAGGAUCGGCUAACUCCGUGCCAGCAGCCGCGGUAAUUCGGAGGAUCCGAGCGUUAUCCGGGUGUAUUUGGUUUAAAUGGGUCGUAGAUGGGUUGUUAAGUCAGUUGUGAAAGUUUGCGGCUCAACCGUAAAAUUGCAAUUGAUACUGGCAGUCUUGAGUACAGUGGAGGUAGGCGGAAUUCGUGGUGUAGCGGUGAAAUGCUUAGAUAUCACGAAGAACUCCGAUUGCGAAGGCAGCUUACUAAACUGCCACUGACAUUGAUGCUCGAAAGUGUGGGUAUCAAACAGGAUUAGAUACCCGGGUAGUC